UCAUCUAUUGAAAGAUACUUUGUAGAAAAUGAGUGAACCUUAAUUAUGUAAUUAUUACUCAACAUUUUGUAUCUAUGAUCUGUCUGUCUGUUAUACAACUUAACAACUUAUUGUGAUUGUUUUUGUCACAUUUAGAUUUCUCAAGAUCAUCAGUUUGGACAGAAUUCAUUUGAAGAAUUAAUAGCACUAGCAGGUUCCAAUAAAGGCUGGAACAGAACAGACAGAAAAGAAUCUGUCAGAAGAAAUUCAACUACUGUUCGUGCACCAGAUGGUGAAGUAGAAAAGUUCGUAAAAACUUCUGCAGCUUGCAUCUGACAGAGAUGCAAAAAGAAUAAGAGAGCGGGCCUGAAAACAAGCAAAUUCAAGGGUACACUUGAGGAGUGUCCAGAUGUUUAUUAAUGUUUUAUUAAUGUAAUGUUAUGUUUCAAAUAAACAUGUAAACAUACUGUAUAUUUUUCUUUCUUUUUUAAACACC